UUGGCUAAUGCGAGCAAUGGCUCAUACUUGAUUGUCUAAGAUGGAGUAGUUUCAGCAUUUGAUGUAUUAACUAGAAUAUUUACUUCUUCACUAUCUCUCUCUAUAUCACAGUCAUCCACUCCAAAGUACGUCAAGUGGGUGUCUCAAAAAUUAUGUGCAAAAAUCAUUGAUGUUGCUUCCUCUAUGAUAUCCUCGAAUGUAUCUAUCACGAAGCAACUAUCAGUUGAUGGUUCCUG
rnacentral:lncRNA from 1 species